AGUCGUUCUUUGGUGCACAAAGUCUUCUUACUUACAAAUGUCAGGACUAAUGAAAAAAGAAAAGCAGUUAGCUAAAAAUCAGAGCCUAUUCUCUGCAUAUUAGAAUGGCCAGCACUAGGACCUCGGCAGUGAACAGUAUGCAGGCCCAGACACUCUAUGCUUGACAGCACUGAUAAUGUGGCCGUGUUGGAAUCCAUGAUGGAGUGAGUUGAAUGGUGAACACAACUGUGAACUAGAAAGCAGUACAUGUGACUGCAUUUAAAAAAACUGUUUGGGCCCAAGGUCAAAAGAGAGAUUAUGAAGUACUACUGGCAUCUAGGAAAGAUUCCACCCCAACUCUCCCUCUCUUCAUCCCCCUUUCAUUUGGUAACUGAAGGGGCUGGGUGAGAACAUUGCCAAGGCUGGAAGAUCCAGAGCACAGGUGGGAUCUGCUUCCUUUUUGGCAGACUAGGGAUCUGGGUAACAGCAUACUGUUUUGUGG
rnacentral:lncRNA from 1 species